rnacentral:lncRNA from 1 species
UCCUAACCUCUCCAUAAGCCUGCUGGAUCACAGGGCCAAACUAACAACCAAUAUUGUUUACAUCUUUACCGCAAGUUAGCUUUCAUGGACAUGCAGAAGUUGUAUUACAAUCCUCCCAACCACUAACCCUGACCUGCCUGUUUCCUCUUAGUUCCCAGUAGGGAACAUUUCCACCUAGUUACUUUAUUCCACGAUUGUCAUACAAGUAUAGUCCCAGUUCCUCUGUUUGUCUGCUUUCCUACCCAUGCAUAUGACAGACUUUGGGUAGCCUGUAUGGUAUGCUAUGCCUCUCAUUACCAGGGGAAAUGGUUUCUACUGAGAAAUUUGCUGAUAGCUUUAUGGAAAUUUCCUUAUAUGUGUUUUCCAUGUAACCUCAUUCUUCUGGACAUGGGACAAAAUCCUGGGACUCACCAAACAGCCAGUGUGAAAGAAGCUGUAAAGCUGUAGUCCUCCCGUACUCUGUUGGCAACAGGUGGCUGCCCCACAAGACAGGAAGUGGCGGUGGCUCUUGGCCAGCCCAGGUGCUGCAGGCCUAGUGGGGCAAUGGGAUCGAACAAGCUGGAACAUGCCCCUGUUUGCCAAAGAAAGGCUGUGGAUGGCAGGAACGAACGAACUGCAACAUGAACGAGCUGCAGCCCUUCUGGGGCCCACACCUCGGGACUGCCCUAGCUAGAACUGUAACACGCUGUAACACCCUCUUUGGGGCUCUGGGGUGGCUGGCAUAUCUCAGUUUUUUGGGUUCCACCGCAUUCGCCUCGUUUAGAUGCUGGCGCCUAAAGCAGAAGCUGCUUUGCAGUACACCUGGUUCAGCUACAGCCUUGCACAGAGCUGGUGACUGGAGCAGCCACACCACCACAGCAGUUGGCACAACUGGCUGGGCACCAUGGCUGAACCCUGCACUGAAUCACUCUCACACCCCUCACUGCUCCACGCCAGGGUUGUCUGUGGUGGAUGUGAGAUCUGGGCCAGCGAGCCUGGAGCUGAGCACAGCCUGCUGGUCAGAUUGGGUGGUCAUGAGCGAAACUCUAGCAGAGGCACCCCUGGUCACGGAGGUCUCCAGCUGGUGAAGCACCACCUGAAAGAAUCCUAUGUAAUUUAGACUAAGGCAUUACCAGAAUGGCAUUCUUGAAGAAGUUAAAAAAGGUAGUAUAAUGAAAGCAGCACUGCUUUGUAGCCAAGAGAUUAUCAUUUUAAUCCUUCCUGUAAAAUUUUUUACCCUACCCAUGUUCUUUUACUUCCCCUGUCUCUCACUGACUUAUCCAUGAAAUUAGGGGUUGACAGAAGAUAAUCCCUGUGGUCCCAUACAGCUCUAAUUGUCUAUGAUUCCAUGAAUUUCUGGACUAGGACACUUGUCUGUAACUAUUACAUUGUUUCUCCUUCAAGUAAUGAAAAUAUCUGUAAUUAGAAUCCAUCAUUUUUUAAAUGUUUCUUGUAUAAUUAUAUUCAAUGCUAAAAAUAAAAAUACAUACAUAUAUGAAC